rnacentral:rRNA from 1 species
UAGGAAUCUUCCGCAAUGGGCGAAAGCCUGACGGAGCAACGCCGCGUGAGUGAUGAAGGUCUUCGGAUCGUAAAACUCUGUUAUUAGGGAAGAACAAAUGUGUAAGUAACUAUGCACGUCUUGACGGUACCUAAUCAGAAAGCCACGGCUAACUACGUGCCAGCAGCCGCGGUAAUACGUAGGUGGCAAGCGUUAUCCGGAAUUAUUGGGCGUAAAGCGCGCGUAGGCGGUUUUUUAAGUCUGAUGUGAAAGCCCACGGCUCAACCGUGGAGGGUCAUUGGAAACUGGAAAACUUGAGUGCAGAAGAGGAAAGUGGAAUUCCAUGUGUAGCGGUGAAAUGCGCAGAGAUAUGGAGGAACACCAGUGGCGAAGGCGACUUUCUGGUCUGUAACUGACGCUGAUGUGCGAAAGCGUGGGGAUCAAACAGG